rnacentral:lncRNA from 1 species
AAUAUCCUCUUAUUUUCUUAGGAUACUCUAUGAAAUAAUACUUAUCGCACCUAGGUUCAAGCUUAUCAGUCUAUAAAUAUUUGACAUAAGCUGAACAAUCACAAAUCCUAAGGUAAGAGAGUAUCAGCCUAUGCCUAGUCCAUAUCUCAUGGAGUUUUUACAAUUGAUUUGCUUGGAAUCCUAUUCAGAACAUAACAAGUAGUCUCAAAAACAUAAUCCCAAAA